AUUAAUUAAAUAUACUAAUAUACUUUUACUUCACAUAUACUUUUAUUGUGACCUAUUGUAUUUUUCUAUUACUAUUCUUUGGCAUGCUACCGAUUGCCAGACUGUAUAUAACUGACACUGGCAGACUGAUACUGGUAGACAGACUUAUACAUGUAUUAUAAAGUAAUUCUUCUUUAUUUUUAAGUUUUUAUUUUUUUAAGGACUUUUUAUUGCAGUGACAGAUUUUUGAC